AGGCAGAAGGUAAGAGAAAUAGGAAAAAAAUAUAUGGAGAACAUAUUCUAAAAUUUACAACUGAAUCAUGCUUAUUACAACUGCUAUAUCGUUUGCUUUCCUUUCUUAUGUUAUACCUACCUUAUUUUGUAGAGUAUCUAUUUUAAAAGGUGGAUACUGAAGACUGAGGAGGAUAGGACUUAGUUUGACUUGCAGGAAGGCUACUCUAGAAUGCUUAUUUCAUUUUGAAAAUAUAAACACUAAGGAAAUACUUUUUGAUGUCAAGAAGAUACAGUAUAUGAGUGAUGGCUGUUUGCAAAGAAACCAGGGAAAAUCAUUUUUAAAUGGAUAAUCCUGUGUUAUCUCUUCUCACUGUGUUUUCAUAUAUAUGCACCAUACCAACAGUAGGCCUAAACAGAAAACAAGAACUCAUAGGAGACAGCUGCAAAUUAAAUCAUCCUCAUUAAAAAGCCAGAUUCUAUAACCGGUAAGUCGGAAAAUCACAGAGGUAAACUGAACUUCCUGCUGAUACAUGGACAAAAGGAAGAUUACUUUAUUUUUCCUGCUCCUUCCCCUCAUCCUGCCCCAGUGGUUCGAAUCAGUGAAGAAAGCUGUCUUCCUUUUCUUGGUUUCAAAGUGUGCCAUGCCCCACACAGCUGGAGGAAGAAAUGAGAGCUGAGGACUCCCACACAUAUCUUUCUAAUUUCAAAACCUUCUUCAUGCAGAUGACUGAAACCAAGGGCUGAUAAAUGAUUUUUUUCCAUUUCAUAUUCUAGACUGCUAGAUACUAUUUCAAAGCUAGAUAGCACUCCAGUGGUCAAACAACAAAACUAAUUUGCAGACUACUCUUAGAAAGACCCACCUAAAUAAGCUGCUUGAUUCUUUCUCUAUUGCUGUCCUAAGGUAAUUCUUGG
rnacentral:lncRNA from 1 species